AAAGCGAAGAAAACCGCUAAUUCAUUUUAAACACGACGCUAGAGCCACAGUACGAAUGUACUUUUUGGUAUAAAAAUACUUUCGGCAACAAUCACUUCUUUAGAUAGCACCAGUCCUCAGUAAAUUUAGUACAUAACAAAUACAAGUGAACCGCGUAACUUCGUUUCUUGAAAAAAAAAUCAACAUGCAGAUUACGUAUUUGAUUGGUUUUAUGGUUAUGGCGAUUUUGGUCACAAGUCUGGUGGUGAUGGGCGAACCCAUGCCCAUCGAUCGAAACGCACUUAAAUCAUUGCAGGGAAAAUGAAGACGUUUAGUACAGAUUACACGUUCCUCGGAUACCCUGAUACCCAUUUUUGUUCACUUUCAAACCUAGGUUUACAUCAACUUAUUAUUCAACUUGAAUUAGGAUAUGCUUAUGCUAUAGAAUAUCAGAAUAUAGUUUAAUUUCAUUUCAAGCAAA